UACGUAGGUGGCAAGCGUUGUCCGGAAUUACUGGGUGUAAAGCGCGUGUAGGCGGGAGGCCAAGUCUGCUGUGAAAUCGCUCGGCUCAACUGGGCGGGGUCGGUGGAAACUGGUCACCUGGAGGACGGUAGAGGCGAGUGGAAUUCCCGGUGUAGUGGUGAAAUGCGUAGAGAUCGGGAGGAGCACCGGUGGCGAAGGCGGCCUUCUGGACGGUGACUGACGCUGAGGCGCGAAAGCGUGGGGAGCAAACGGG
rnacentral:rRNA from 1 species